UGCUUCGCGCAGGAGGCAGCCGUGGCUCGCGUGGAACUGCAGAAGGCGCAGGCGCUGCAGGAGGAGUGCGGCUACCUGCGGCGCCACCACCAGGAGGAGGUGGGCGAGCUGCUCGGCCAGAUCCAGGGCUGCGGCGCCGCGCAGGCGCAGGUACAGGCCGAGGCACGCGACGCCCUCAAGUGCGACGUGACGUCGGCGCUGCGCGACAUCGGCGCGCAGCUUGAAGGCCACGCGGUGCAGAGCACGCUGCAGUCCGAGGAGUGGUUCCGAGUGAGGCUGGACCGACUGUCAGAGGCAGCCAAGGUGAAUACAGACGCCAUGCGCUCAGCGCAGGAGGAGAUAACUGAGUACCGGCGUCAGCUGCAGGCCAGAACUACAGAGCUGGAGGCACUGAAGAGCACCAAGGACUGCCGGAGAGGCAGCGCUCCGAGCUGGAGGACUGUCAUCAGGCCGACAUUGCCUCCUACCAGGAAGCCAUUCAGCAGCUGGACGCUGAGCUGAGGAACACCAAGUGGGAGAUGGCAGCCCAGCUGUGAGACUACCAGGACCUGCUCAAUGUCAUGAUGGCUCUGGAUAUAGAGAUAGCCACUUACAGAAAACUCCUGGAAGGUGAAGAGUGUCGGAUUGGCUUUGGCCCAGUUCCUUUCUCACUUUCAGAAGGAGUCCCCAAAAUUCCCUCCGUGUCCACUCACAUAAAGGUCAAAAGUGAAGAGAAGAUCAAGGUGGUAGAGAAGUCUGAGAAAGAAACUGUGAUUAUGGAGGAACAGACGGAGGAGACCCAAGUGACUGAAGAAGAGGAGAAAGAGGCCAAAGAGGAGGAGGGCAAGGAGGAAGAAGGGGCUGAAGAGGAGGAGGCAGAACGGGGAGAAGAAAUAAAGUCUCCCCCAGCAGAAGAGGCCGCAUCUCCAGCGAAGGAAGAGGCACAGUCACCAGUGGAGGCCAAGUCCCCAGAGAAAGAGGAAGCAAAAUCUCCAGCUGAGGUCAAGUCCCCCGAGAAGUCCAAGUCCCCAGCAAAAGAAGAGGCAAAGUCACCAGUAGAGGCCAAGUCUCCAGAGAAGACCAAAUCCCCAGCAAAGGAAUAAGCAAAAUCUCUAGCUGAGGUUAAGUCCCCUGAAAAGGCUAAGUCCUCAGUGAAGGAGGAAGCAAAGUCCCCUGAGAAGGCCAAGACUCUUGAUGUGAAGUCUCCAGAAGCCAAGACCACAGCAAAGGAGGACGCAAAGUCCCCUGCAGACAAAUCCCCCGAAAAGGCCAAAAGCCCCGUCAAGGAGGAGGUCAAGCACCCAGAGAAGGCAAAGUCUCCCCUGAAGGAGGAUGCCAAGGCCCCUGAGAAGGAGAUCCCAAAGAAGGAAGAGGUGAAGUCCCCAGUGAAGGAGGAGAAGCCCCAGGAGGUGAAAGUCAAAGAGCCCCCAAAGAAGGCAGAAGAAGAGAAAGCUCCCACCACACCAAAAACGGAGAAGGGCAGCAAGAAAGAGGAGGCACCCAAGAAGGAGUCUGCAAAGCCUGAGGUGGAGAAGAAGGAACCUGCUGUUGAAAAGCCCAAAGAAUCCAAAGUUGAAGCCAAAAAGGAAGAGGCUGAAGAUAAGAAAAAGGCAGCCACCCCAGAGAAGGAGGCUCCUGCCAAGGCAGCAGUGAAGGAAGACGCUAAACCCAAGGAGAAGACAGAGGUGGCCAAGAAGGAACCAGAUGAUGCCAAGGCCAAGGAACCCAGCAAACCAGCAGAGAAGGAGGCAGCUGCGGCAGCACCGGAGAAAAAAGACAGCAAGGAGGAGAAGGCCACUGAGGCCAAGAAGCCUGACGAAAAACCUAAGACAGAGGCCAAAGCCAAGGAGGAUGACAAGACCCUCUCAAAGGAGCCCAGCAAACUGAAGGCGGAAAAGGCUGAAAAAUCCCCCAGCACAGACCAAAAAGACAGCAGGCCUCCAGAGAAGGCCACAGAAGACAAAGCCGCCAAGGGGAAGUAAGGCAGGGAGGAAGAUAAAU